rnacentral:rRNA from 1 species
CCUACGGGAGGCAGCAGUGGGGGAUAUUGCACAAUGGGGGAAACCCUGAUGCAGCGACGCCGCGUGUGGGAAGACGGUCCUCUGGAUUGUAAACCGCUGUCCCCAGGGACGAAGAUGACGGUACCUGGGGAGGAAGCACCGGCAAACUACGUGCCAGCAGCCGCGGUAAUACGUAGGGAGCGAGCGUUGUCCGGAAUUACUGGGUGAAAAGGGAGCGUAGGCGGGACUGCAAGUUGGGUGUCAAAUCUACCGGCUCAACCGGUAGCCGCACUCAAACCUGCAGUUCUUGAGUGAAGUAGAGGCAGGCGGAAUUCCUAGUGUAGCGGUGAAAUGCGUAGAUAUUAGGAGGAACACCAGUGGCGAAGGCGGCCUGCUGGGCUUUUACUGACGCUGAGGCUCGAAAGUGUGGGGAGCAAACAGGAUUAGAUACCCCGGUAGUC